UACGGGGGGAGCAAGCGUUGUUCGGAUUUACUGGGCGUAAAGGGCGCGUAGGCGGCGUGACAAGUCACUUGUGAAAUCUCCGGGCUUAACCCGGAGCGGCCAAGUGAUACUGUCGUGCUAGAGUGCGGAAGGGGCUACUGGAAUUCUCGGUGUAGCGGUGAAAUGCGCAGAUAUCAGGAGGAACACCGGUGGCGAAGGCGGGUCUCUGGGCCGAUACUGACGCUGAGGAGCGAAAGCGUGGGGAGCGAGCAGG
rnacentral:rRNA from 1 species